UUUUUUACACAUAAAUCGAAAAUUUAAAUGAUGGUUCUAAACUUUUGAAGCGCCCUUUAUUUCUGUAUACGUUUUUCAAUAAAGUUUGAUUUCAAUGUAUGAAAACAAAUAUGCCAGUUAAAGGUCAUUUAAAUAUCCAUAUCUCAUUCAAUGUAUUAACUUAUAAACUUUAGAAAAUAUGCAAAAAUUUGUAACAUCGGAA